CAAUCUUUUGAACUACGGCCA
rnacentral:siRNA from 1 species